rnacentral:rRNA from 1 species
GACGAACGCUGGCGGCGUGCCUAAUACAUGCAAGUCGAGCGAGCUUGCCUAGAUGAUUUUAGUGCUUGCACUAAAUGAAACUAGAUACAAGCGAGCGGCGGACGGGUGAGUAACACGUGGGUAACCUGCCCAAGAGACUGGGAUAACACCUGGAAACGACUGCUAAUACCGCAUAAGCGCACAGCUUCGCAUGAAGCAGUGUGAAAAACUCCGGUGGUACAAGAUGGACCCGCGUCUGAUUAGCUGGUUGGUGAGGUAACGGCCCACCAAGGCGACGAUCAGUAGCCGGCCUGAGAGGGUGAACGGCCACAUUGGGACUGAGACACGGCCCAA